AGUGGGGAAUANNNNNCAAUGGGGGAAACCCUGAUGCAGCCAUGCCGCGUGUGUGAAGAAGGCCUUCGGGUUGUAAAGCACUUUCAGUAGGGAGGAAAGGUAGCAGUUUAAUACGCUGUUACUGUGACGUUACCUACAGAAGAAGGACCGGCUAACUCCGUGCCAGCAGCCGCGGUAAUACGGAGGGUCCGAGCGUUAAUCGGAAUUACUGGGCGUAAAGCGUGCGCAGGCGGUUUGUUAAGCGAGAUGUGAAAGCCCCGGGCUCAACCUGGGAAUUGCAUUUCGAACUGGCAAACUGGAGUCUUGUAGAGGGGGGUAGAAUUCCAGGUGUAGCGGUGAAAUGCGUAGAGAUCUGGAGGAAUACCGGUGGCGAAGGCGGCCCCCUGGACAAAGACUGACGCUCAGGCACGAAAGCGUGGGGAGCAAACAGGAUUAGAUACCCUGGUAGUCCACGCCGUAAACGAUGUCUACUCGGAGUUUGGUGUCUUGAACACUGGGCUCUCGAGCUAACGCAUUAAGUAGACCGCCUGGGGNNNNNNGCCGCAAGGUUA
rnacentral:rRNA from 1 species